rnacentral:rRNA from 1 species
UCCUACGGGAGGCAGCAGUGGGGAAUCUUGCGCAAUGGUCUAACGACUGACGCAGCGACGCCGCGUGUGGGAGGACGCCUUUCGGGGUGUAAACCACUGUUGCCCGGGACGAACUGCGCGAUUUCUCGCGCGUGACGGUACCGGGUGAGGGAGCACCGGCUAACUCCGUGCCAGCAGCCGCGGUAAUACGGAGGGUGCGAGCGUUGUCCGGAAUCAUUGGGCGUAAAGGGCGCGUAGGUGGCCCGGUCAGUCCGUGGUGAAAGCGCGGGGCUCAACCCUGCGUCGGCCAUGGAUACUGCCGCGGCUCGAGCACUGUAGAGGCAGGCGGAAUUCCGGGUGUAGCGGUGGAAUGCGUAGAGAUCCGGAAGAACACCGGUGGCGAAGGCGGCCUGCUGGGCAGUAUGGCUGACACUGAGGCGCGACAGCGUGGGGAGCAAACAGGAUUAGAUACCCUGGUAGUCCACGCCGUAAACGAUGGGCACUAGGCGCUUGGGGGAGCGACCCCCCGAGGGCCGGCGCUAACGCAUUAAGUGCCCCGCCUGGGGAGUACGGCCGCAAGGCUGAAACUCAAAGGAAUUGACGGA